GCAAAAUCGCGCAGCACCAGCGCGCCGCGCGCGGCUCCAUCACGCGGGCAACAACGUGCGGCACCUGCGCGCCCGCGCGCGGCACCAUCGCGCGCAGCAAGCGCACCCGCGCGCGGCACCAUCGCGCGCCGCAAGCGCCACAGCGCGCGGCACCAUCGCGCGCAGCAAGCGCCACAGCGCGCGGCACCAUCGCGCGCAGCCAGCGCGAUCGCGCGCGCCGGCAACAUGUCCAGCAGCCAGCGCGAUAGCGUGCGGCACCAUCGCGCGCAGCAGAGCGCCAGCGCGCCGGCACCAUCGCGCGCAGCAAGCGCCCCAGCGCGCGGCACCAUCGCGCGCAGUUAGCGAGAUUGCCGCCGGCACCAUCGCGCGCAGCAAGCGCCCCAGCGCGCGGCACCAUCGCGCGCAGUUAGCGAGAUUGCUCGCGGCACCAUCGCGCCCAGCAAGCGCCCCAGCGCGCGGCACCAUCGCGCGCAGGCAGCGCGAUCGCGCGCGGCACAUCUCCCGCAGCCGUGCGAUAGCGUGGGGCACCAUCGCGCGAAACAAGCGCGCCCGCGCGCGGCACCAUCGCGCGCAGCAAGCGUCCAGCGCACGGCACCAUCGCGCGCAGCCAGCGCGAUAGCGAGGGGCACCAUGGCGCGCAGCAAGCGCGGCUGCGCGCGGCACCAACGCGCGCAGGCAAGCGCGCCAUCGCGCGGCACCAUCGCGCGCAGCAAGCGCGCCCGCGCGCGGCACCAUCGCGCGCAGCCAGCGCGAUAGCGAGGGGCACCAUGGCGCGCAGCAAGCGCGCCUGCGCGCGGGCACCAUCGCGCGCAGCAAGCGCGCCAUCGCGCGGGCACCAUCGCGCGCAGCAAGCGCGCCCGCGCGCCGGCACCAUCGCGCGGCACCAUCGCGCGCAGGCAGCGCGAUCGCGCGCGGCACCAUCUCCCGCAGCCAGCGCCGAUAGCGUGCGGCACCAUCGCGCGCAGCAAGAGCGCCAGCGCGCGGCACCAUCGCGCGCAGCAAGCGCCCCAGCGCGGCGCACCAUCGCGCGCAGCCAGCGCCCCAGCGCGCGGGCACCAUCGCGCGCAGCCAGCGCCCCAGCGCGCGGCACCAUCGCGCGCAGCAAGCGCCCCAGCGCGCAGGGCACCAUCGCGCGCAGUUAGCGAGAUUGCUCGCGGCACCAUCGCGCGCAGGCAGCGCGAUCGCGCGCGGCAACAUCUCCCGCAGCCAGCCGAUAGCGAGGGGCACCAUGGCGCGCAGCAAGCGCGCCUGCGCGCGGCACCAACGCGCGGCACCAUCGCGCGCAGCAAGCGCGCCCGCGCGCGGCACCAUCGCGCGCAGCAAGCGUCCCCGCGCGCGGCACCAUCGCGCGCAGGCAGCGCGAUCGCGCGCGGCACCAUCUACCGCAGCCAGCGCGAUAGCGAGGGGCACCAUGGCGCGGUGCAAGCGCGCCAUCGCGCGGCACAAUCGCGCGCAGCAAGCGCACCAGCGCGCGGCACCAUCGCGCGCAGUUAGCGAGAUUGCUGGCGGCACCAUCGAGCGCACCAAGCGCCCCAGCGCGCGGCACCAUCGCGCGCAGCAAGCGCCCCAGCGCGCGCACCAUCUCCCGCAGCCAUCGCGAUAGCGAGGGGCACCAUGGCGCGCAGCAAGCGCGCCAUCGCGCGGCACAAUCGCGCGCAGCAAGCGCACCAGCGCGCGGGACCAUCGCGCGCAGUUAGCGAGAUUGCUGGCGGCACCAUCGAGCGCACCAAGCGCCCCAGCGCGCGGCACCAUCGCGCGCAGCAAGCGCCCCAGCGCGCGCACCAUCUCCCGCAGCCAUCGCGAUAGCGAGGGGCACCAUGGCGCGCAGCAAGCGCGCCAUCGUGCGGCACAAUCGCGCGCAGCAAGCGCACCAGCGCGCGGCACCAUCGCGCUUAGUUACGAGAUUGCUCGCGGCACCAUUGCGCGCACCAAGCGCCCCAGCGCGCGGCACCAUCGCGCGCAGGCAGCGCGAUCGCGCGGCAAGGCUCCAACGAUCUUGCGCGAGGCUGCGCACGCUGGCGCGCGAGGUUGCCCACUCUCGCGCGGCAAGGCAGCCAACUCUCGCGCGGCAAGGCUGCCCACGCUCGCGCGGCAAGGCUGCCCACGCUCGCGCGGCAAGGCUGCCCACGCUCGCGCGCAAGGCUGCGCACUCUGGCGCGCGAGGGCUGCCCACGCUCGCGCGGCAAGGCUGCGCACUCUGGCGCGCGAGGCUGCCCACCCUCGCGCGGCAAGGCAGCCAACCCUGGCCGCGAGGCUGCCCAUUUCCGAGUAAAGCAUGCUUCACCCACUCGCGAGGAAGGCAGCGCGAACUCGUGCGAGGGAUGUAGCCCAGCCUCGCGUGCCCGCAGCGCACGCUCGCGGGGAAGGAUACGAGCGCCGGCGCGCGGCAUGCACCUGGCACUCGCGCGGCAAACUGCCUAAGCUCGAGAGGCAUGCAGCGCGCGCGGCGCGAGCAAGGCAAACUGCCGACGCUCGAGCGAGGCAAGGCAGCGGGCGCUCG
rnacentral:lncRNA from 1 species